rnacentral:rRNA from 1 species
AAGAAGCACCGGCUAACUACGUGCCAGCAGCCGCGGUAAUACGUAGGGUGCGAGCGUUAAUCGGAAUUACUGGGCGUAAAGCGUGCGCAGGCGGCUUUUUAAGACAGAUGUGAAAUCCCCGGGCUUAACCUGGGAACUGCAUUUGUGACUGGAAGGCUAGAGUGUAGCAGAGGGGGGUAGAAUUCCACGUGUAGCAGUGAAAUGCGUAGAUAUGUGGAGGAAUACCGAUGGCGAAGGCAGCCCCCUGGGCUAACACUGACGCUCAUGCACGAAAGCGUGGGGAGCAA